UACAGGGGGUGCUAGCGUUGUUCGGAAUUACUGGGCGUAAAGGGUGCGUAGGCGGGUCUUUAAGUCAGGGGUGAAAUCCUGGAGCUCAACUCCAGAACUGCCUUUGAUACUGAAGAUCUUGAGUCCGGGAGAGGUGAGUGGAACUGCGAGUGUAGAGGUGAAAUUCGUAGAUAUUCGCAAGAACACCAGUGGCGAAGGCGGCUCACUGGCCCGGUACUGACGCUGAGGCACGAAAGCGUGGGGAGCAAACAGG
rnacentral:rRNA from 1 species